rnacentral:rRNA from 1 species
UCUUGGUCAUUUAGAGGAAGUAAAAGUCGUAACAAGGUUUCCGUAGGUGAACCUGCGGAAGGAUCAUUGUUGGAUUAUUUAUUUUGAAGGGGUUGUAGCUGGUCUUUGAAAAAAUGACAUGUGCACGCCUCUAUCGAAACAAUCACACCCUGUGCACAUUUUGUAGACUUUUUGGCCGUCUUUGCGGAAAUGCUUUGAUGGUUUGGUCUAUAUUUUUCAUACACACCUUGUAAAAGUUUUAGAAUGUUGUUGGCAUUAAUAAAUAAUACAACUUUCAACAACGGAUCUCUUGGCUCUCGCAUCGAUGAAGAACGCAGCGAAACGCGAUAAGUAAUGUGAAUUGCAGAAUUCAGUGAAUCAUCGAAUCUUUGAACGCACCUUGCGCACCUUGGUAUUCCAAGGUGCAUGCCUGUUUGAGUGUCAUUAAAAAUCAUCAAUCACUUGUCUUUUAAAGGAAAAGUGAAUUGGACUUGGAGAAUUGCUGGCUAUCAAAGUCAGCUUCUCUUAAAUGCAUUAGCGUGUACACUUUGUGGAUAGGCUUUGGUUUGAUAAAUAAUCUAUGCCAUUGCUGUGAAGCAAGAAGUCAGCUGCCAAUAAGUUCUUUUUUGAACAUUUUGACUUUUGACCUCAAAUCAGGUAGGACUACCCGCUGAACUUAAGCAUAUCA